AUUGAACGCCGGCGGAAUGCUUUACACAUGCAAGUCGAACGGCAGCACGGACUUCGGUCCGGUGGCGAGUGGCGAACGGGUGAGUAAUGUAUCGGAACGUGCCCAGUCGUGGGGGAUAACGUAGUGAAAAUUACGCUAAUACCGCAUACGAUCUAUGGAUGAAAGCGGGGGAUCGCAAGACCUCGCGCGAUUGGAGCGGCCGAUAUCAGAUUAGGUAGUUGGUGGGGUAAAGGCCCACCAAGCCAACGAUCUGUAGCUGGUCUGAGAGGACGACCAGCCACACUGGAACUGAGAUACGGUCCAGACUCCUACGGGAGGCAGCAGUGGGGAAUUUUGGACAAUGGGCGAAAGCCUGAUCCAGCCAUUCCGCGUGCAGGAUGAAGGCCCUCGGGUUGUAAACUGCUUUUGUACAGAACGAAAAGGUUUCUACUAAUACUAGGAGCUCAUGACGGUACUGUAAGAAUAAGCACCGGCUAACUACGUGCCAGCAGCCGCAGUAA
rnacentral:rRNA from 1 species